rnacentral:rRNA from 1 species
AACGAACGCUGGCGGCAUGCCUAACACAUGCAAGUCGAACGAGACCUUCGGGUCUAGUGGCGCACGGGUGCGUAACGCGUGGGAACCUGCCCUUAGGUUCGGAAUAACUCCCCGAAAGGGGUGCUAAUACCGGAUAAUGUCUUCGGACCAAAGAUUUAUCGCCUUUGGAUGGGCCCGCGUUGGAUUAGCUAGUUGGUAGGGUAAAAGCCUACCAAGGCGACGAUCCAUAGCUGGUCUGAGAGGAUGAUCAGCCACACUGGGACUGAGACACGGCCCAGACGCGUGGGGGGGGCAGAGGUGGGGAAGAUGGAACGCGGGACGAAAACCUGAUCAGGAAAUGGGGUGUGAGGGAUGAAGUACUGAUGGUGGAAAAUCUCUUCUAGCGGGAAAGAUAAGGACAGUCCGGGGAGAAUACGCUCCGGCAAACGACGUGCAAGCAACGGUGGUAAUAGCGAACAAACACGUAUAAAC